AGCCAUGCGAGUCAACGUAGUAAUACGUGGCAUACGGCUCAGUAACACGUAGUCAACAUGCCCAGGGGACGUGGAUAACCUCGGGAAACUGAGGAUAAACCGCGAUAGGUCAUAGUAUCUGGAAUGAUUUAUGGCUUAAAUCUAUAUGGCCUCUGGAUUGGACUGCGGCCGAUCAGGCUGUUGGUGAGGUAAUGGCCCACCAAACCUGUAACCGGUACGGGCUCUGAGAGGAGAAGCCCGGAGAUGGGCACUGAGACAAGGGCCCAGGCCCUAUGGGGCGCAGCAGGCGCGAAAACUCUGCAAUAAGCGAAAGCUUGACAGGGUUAUUCUGAGUGAUUUCCGCUAAGGAAAUCUUUUGGCACCUCUAAAAAUGGUGCAGAAUAAGGGGUGGGCAAGCCUGGUGUCAGCCGCCGCGGUAAUACCAGCACCCCGAGUGGUCGGGACGAUUAUUGGGCCUAAAGCAUCCGUAGCCGGUUCUACAAGUCUUCCGUUAAAUCCACCUGCUUAACAGAUGGGCUGCGGAGGAUACUAUAGAGCUAGGAGGCGGGAGAGGCAAGCGGUACUUAGUGGGUAGGGGUAAAAUCCG
rnacentral:rRNA from 1 species